UAUUCCUUUAUCUUGAUUGGCUGUUAAGAACACUGCUGCAUCAUAUACUUGCAUCAAUUGUGGACGAAGGACUUCAGUUCCAUAUCGUGCACAAGGCUUUCUCCUUUUUUUCUGUGUAAAAAAAAGCAUUAAUGUAAAGUUUAAAUUGUAGUCACCUUAGCUAGCAAGUAGGUCUGCAGGGUAGAAUUGUACGUGUUCAAAUUCCAUUGUCUGUACACUUGUCCCGUGUUGAUGUGGUGAACUAAUUUAGAUUCCUAAAUUAAGAUAUUAGCAAGGUCAUAUGUUUUGCUCAUAAGAGUUCAGAUGGACUUAGCAGCAUCAAUUAAGUGAAUUUACAGAAAUCAUAGUCUUAUAGAGAGUGGAAAUUUUGGGUGGAAUGUAGUGAGGAUGUAAAUCUUUGUCUUGCUUUCCUUUUCCCCAAGUCCAGUCUCCUAUUUCCUAUGAUCAAAACACUUAAAUUAUAUGAAGUUUCUCCUCAAUAAUCCUUUCCUUUGUUUCUCAAUAUAUUUCUUUGACUUGUAUCAUCCUUUAUACUUCCUUUUUGAACUAAUAUAUAGGUCUAGUUAUCUCUUAUAGCGAUACCAGUCCUCUGAUACCAGAUUUUGGAUCCAAAAUGCAGAUUUAUUUAUAGAGAGUUGCCAUCCCAAGUAGCUCAAUCGUGGAGGAUGGAGAUGGGUGGAAUACUUAAAGGCAAUCCAGUUCCAGUUUAAUAGAUGCAAUGCUUUUAGGCCUACUUGAGCUAUGCGAGAUGUAAAUGGAUAAGCCAUUUCGGGCAAUUCAAUGGAAGAACCAAAGAGAUAUGUUUGCAGUGGACAAGUUGUUGAAUCUGCCAAGUCUUCUGCAUCUGUCUCAUCAUGCUGCUUGUUGCUAAAGGAUUAGUUUUAUUCCAAGACUUCUUCCUUCCCUGCACUACAUCUUGGUUGAUGAACGAAGAGUCUUGUGCUGUAGCUUUUCUGCUGAUUAUGGUUUUGAUUCAUAACUAAAAGAAUUCAUGGUUUAAGACAAAAAGUGCUGAAGCACACUAGCCGAGCAAAAGUUGUUGCAAUGACAGGAAUGUAGCUUUUGAC